AUGACCGGCGUGAGUUCGUUCAUUGCCUGGACGGAUCAAAAUAAACCUGUAAAUAUGAAGAACUUGGUAGUGCUUGUGCUGAUGGUUGUGAUGCUUCUAGCUGUGAAUAUGGCUGAAGCCCAAUUUGGGUUCGGAGCUCAAUCCACCAAACAACAACCUGCUACAGAUACUACGAGGAAAACUUCACCAACAACCCCGACAAAGCCUACUACACCGACGAAGCCUACUACGCCAACAAAGCCUACACUGCCCACCCGUCCGACAACGACCUCUACUACGAAGCGCGCAACGCCUACUGUCGUCCCAACGAAACCAUCACCGACGCCAACACGCAAGCCCUAAUUCCUUCCCUUCAGAGUUCAUUGAGCUUAUCCCACAGAAAGAGACCGGGAAAUUUGGUGUUUCAAUAGAAUAAAAUCUGCCCCAAUAUAUUUCUUUGACUCCGUUUGUUUUGACUCAUUAUGCCGCGUGGUUGCGAUUCGUUAAUCAUUGAGCGUAUAGCAUAGUAUCGGCUUAAUGUACAGAUUUUAUCACAAAAUCCUUUGAAAAAUGUAUUUGAAGGUCACUUCUCAAGCUUGUGCAAACUUUUUAUUUAUUUUGUACGGAAACUGAGUUUGCUGACAUUGACCGAACAUUGAAGCAGACUUGUAGCAUUGCAUGGCGAUGUACCCGCGCACUGAAAUUGCAAAAAAGCUUGCAAAAACCCAUCGAUACGUUUGUUCAACUGUUUGGCACACUUUGGUGGAUGGACUAUAUAACUCCCUUACCGGGACGAGAUCGUUCAUUGCGUGGACGGAUCAAACGAACGGGCAAAAUGAAGAACUUGGUAGUGUUUGUGUUCCUGGCAACGGUGCUUCUAGCUUUGAACAUGGCUGAAGCGCAAUCUGCAAAGCCUAUUUCAACGAAGAAUACACCGACGAAGCCGACACCAACGAAGCCUACACCGACAAAGCCUUCUACACCGACAAAGCCUUCUACACCGACCAAGCCUUCAACAGCGACUAAGCCUACACCAUCCACUAAACCAACACUACCGACAAAACCUACACCAUCGAAGCCUACUUCGGCAAAACCAGUAGCAGCCAACGUUGCAAUGGCGAAAUCUGUGUCGGGUGAACCUGUACCGGCGAAGACUACAAAGCGCCAAUCACUCAAAACUACCAAAACAAAACCAACUCCAACGCGUAAAACCACUAAACGCACUAGCCGGCCGAGCACAUCGCCAGCAGCGUAAAUCGAAAUCGAUCUAAGCUUGGAUUGCAAAAUGAACCCUCCCCUUCAUCUUGAUGCUUCUAGAGCCGUUCGAACCCAGUUGUUCAAUUAAAGUAAACGUUUUGCAGAACUCCCAACAUCCGAUUUGUUUGUGUCUAUCACACCGUACAGUAAGUGAAGGCCACACGUUAUGUUUCAAUAAACAAAAAGUCUGUAAUUUCACCAAUCGCUGGCUGUUUGCUUUGUCUCAUUGUGACGUAAAUCGUCACAGAUCGUGUGUGACCGGUGCGUCAUCGUUGCAGAAAGGUGUUUACUCAAAUGUUUUCGAGAUUAAAGUUUGGGACUAUAUAAAGUCUGGCGCCGAGAUUAUCCAGUAUCAGAGAGGACGGAAACAAUCAAAAGACCCUUAACAAUGAAGAACUUGGCAGUACUUGUGUUGAUCGUGAUGGCGCUUCUAGCACUGAACUUUGCUGAAGGUAGACCUUCAUCAUCAUCGGAGGAAUCAUCAGAAGAAGUUAUAGCCACUACCAGAACCACUAGAUCGACCACUACACGUAGGACUACCACACGUCCAACUACGACAACCCGUCGGACUACCACCCGUCCAACUACGACCCGUCGCACUACCACUCGACCAACUACUACAACACGACGAACCAGCACGGCCAGUUCGGCCAGCACUGCCCGUUCGUCCAGUACUGCCAGUUCGCCCAGUACUGCCAGUUCAGCCAGUACUGCCAGUUCAGCUAGUACUGCUCAAUGAUUCGAAGCACACACAGUACCGACAAAAACGCACGCAAAUAUGGAAAAAGGUCUAGCGAGGAGUACUGUUUUUGAGGUAAAGGAAGGGAACUUUAAUACUCUUUACA